CCUGGCAGCUAGCUCUCUGCAACUCUCACAUGGUGGUCCACUGAAGCUAAGCAGGGCUGUGCCCGGUCAGUACCUGGAUGGGAAACCACAAGGGAAAGCUACUGGAAGUGAUGUCAGUG
rnacentral:rRNA from 1 species